AUGAACGUGGCGCUCAUGUUAAGAUGGGUCUGGCGCAUCCUACGCGGCGAGGGAGGAUUAUGGCUACAACUCAUUAAAGCGAAAUACCUGAGGGGUGACCCGCUCUUAGCAUGCAACCGGACGAAAGGCUCACAAUUCUAGCGCGCCAUCCAAAGGAUCAAGGAGGACAUCCGCCUAGGGAUGUCCUUCUCCUUAGGGAACGGGAAAGGGAUCCAAUUCUGGUUGGAUCCCUGGCUGGAAGCUGAACCCCUAUGUGUUUCCUUCCCUGGCCUAUUCUCAAUAUGUGCGGAUCCGGCUGUCCUAGUGGCUACGGCUUUCCAAGUUGGACAGUGAAACAUUGGGUUUCGUCGCACCUUUGGACAAGCCGAGCAUAACGACUGGACUAGACUGCGGGCUGCCCUUCCGCUCGUGCUCCCAGACGAUCCGGACACGGUAUCCUGGCGGCUCACGUCGACUGCGGAUUUUUCUGUGAACUCGGCAUACCACGCCCUUUGCCCGCCACAAGCCACUCCUUAG
rnacentral:rRNA from 1 species